CAUGCAGUCGAACGGUGAAGGCGGAGCUUGCUCUGCUGGAUCAGUGGCGAACGGGUGAGUAACACGUGAGCAAUCUGCCUCUGACUCUGGGAUAAGCGCUGGAAACGGCGUCUAAUACUGGAUACGAGCUGCGAAGGCAUCUUCAGCAGCUGGAAAGAACUUCGGUCAGGGAUGAGCUCGCGGCCUAUCAGCUUGUUGGUGAGGUAAUGGCUCACCAAGGCGUCGACGGGUAGCCGGCCUGAGAGGGUGACCGGCCACACUGGGACUGAGACACGGCCCAGACUCCUACGGGAGGCAGCAGUGGGGAAUAUUGCACAAUGGGCGAAAGCCUGAUGCAGCAACGCCGCGUGAGGGAUGACGGCCUUCGGGUUGUAAACCUCUUUUAGCAGGGAAGAAGCGAAAGUGACGGUACCUGCAGAAAAAGCGCCGGCUAACUACGUGCCAGCAGCCGCGGUAAUACGUAGGGCGCAAGCGUUAUCCGGAAUUAUUGGGCGUAAAGAGCUCGUAGGCGGUUUGUCGCGUCUGCUGUGAAAUCCCGAGGCUCAACCUCGGGCCUGCAGUGGGUACGGGCAGACUAGAGUGCGGUAGAGGAGAUUGGAAUUCCUGGUGUAGCGGUGGAAUGCGCAGAUAUCAGGAGGAACACCGAUGGCGAAGGCAGAUCUCUGGGCCGUAACUGACGCUGAGGAGCGAAAGGGUGGGGAGCAAACAGGCUUAGAUACCCUGGUAGUCCACCCCGUAAACGUUGGGAACUAGUUGUGGGGUCCAUUCCACGGAUUCCGUGACGCAGCUAACGCAUUAAGUUCCCCGCCUGGGGAGUACGGCCGCAAGGCUAAAACUCAAAGGAAUUGACGGGGACCCGCACAAGCGGCGGAGCAUGCGGAUUAAUUCGAUGCAACGCGAAGAACCUUACCAAGGCUUGACAUAUACGAGAACGGGGCCAGAAAUG
rnacentral:rRNA from 1 species